rnacentral:rRNA from 1 species
CAUUAAAAAAAAAAGGACAACCACCAGCAGCCCUUCAGUGGGUGAGCUCCCGAGCGGCCUGGCAAGUCACGGAGGAGUGCUGGUGCCUUGGGUGUUAUCGGUCUAUGUUCUAGUGCGAGUAGGUGCAUUCCGGUGCCUGAAAGCAGCUCGGGACGUCCCCCGUCAAGUACCGCUCCCGCCAGGAGUAUGGGCGUUCCGUUCGCGGUGCUCAAAGCCCGCCUGUUCAUAUUCGGGGAACCUCUGACUACGAGUACCGUUCUGUUGAUUCCUUCGGUGGAUUCUGAUUCCGCCGACUGGAACCCUCAUAAACCUUUUUUUGCACCAGCAUCAAUCCUUCUGAUACAAAUCUUUGAAUCGUUACAACUUUCAACAAUGGAUCUCUUGGUUCUGGCAUCGAUGAAGAACGCAGCGAAAUGCGAUAAGUAGUGUGAAUUGCAGAAUUCAGUGAAUCAUCGAAUCUUUGAACGCACAUUGCGCCCCUUGGUAUUCCAUGGGGCAUGCCUGUUCGAGCGUCAUUUAACCCCUCAAGCACUGCUUGGUGUUGGGUGUCUGUCCCGCCGUUCGCGCGAGGACUCGCCCCAAAAGCAUUGGCAGCGGUCGUGCCAGCCCCUUCGCGCAGCAGUUUGCGAUCGAUGGAGGCAUAAUGCGGCCCGCGU